rnacentral:rRNA from 1 species
ACGAUGGCUAAUACCGCAUGAUGCCUACGGGUCAAAGAGGGGGGACCUUGGGCCUCUCGCGUCAGGAUAUGCCUAGGUGGGAUUAGCUAGUUGGUGAGGUAAGGGCUCACCAAGGCGACGAUCCCUAGCUGGUCUGAGAGGAUGAUCAGCCACACUGGAACUGAGACACGGUCCAGACUCCUACGGGAGGCAGCAGUGGGGAAUAUUGCACAAUGGGCGCAAGCCUGAUGCAGCCAUGCCGCGUGUGUGAAGAAGGCCUUCGGGUUGUAAAGCACUUUCAGUCGUGAGGAAGGUAGUGUAGUUAAUAGCUGCAUUAUUUGACGUUAGCGACAGAAGAAGCACCGGCUAACUCCGUGCCAGCAGCCGCGGUAAUACGGAGGGUGCGAGCGUUAAUCGGAAUUACUGGGCGUAAAGCGCAUGCAGGUGGUUUGUUAAGUCAGAUGUGAAAGCCCGGGGCUCAACCUCGGAAUUGCAUUUGAAACUGGCAGACUAGAGUACUGUAGAGGGGGGUAGAAUUUCAGGUGUAGCGGUGAAAUGCGUAGAGAUCUGAAGGAAUACCGGUGGCGAAGGCGGCCCCCUGGACAGAUACUGACACUCAGAUGCGAAAGCGUGGGGAGCAAACAGGAUUAGAUACCCUGGUAGUCCACGCCGUAAACGAUGUCUACUUGGAGGUUGUGGCCUUGAGCCGUGGCUUUCGGAGCUAACGCGUUAAGUAGACCGCCUGGGGAGUACGGUCGCAAGAUUAAAACUCAAAUGAAUUGACGGGGGCCCGCACAAGCGGUGGAGCAUGUGGUUUAAUUCGAUGCAACGCGAAGAACCUUACCUACUCUUGACAUCCAGAGAACUUUCCAGAGAUGGAUUGGUGCCUUCGGGAACUCUGAGACAGGUGCUGCAUGGC